UCACAGAAAAGUGAUUGGGUCAGUGAUUUGCCCAAAACACUCAAAUCACCGGGCAAAUCACUUUGACAGCAGAAACUGACAGAAGAGCGGGAAAUUGGGCAGAAAACAGAAAUCUGAAUUUUCAGAAGUCCAAUUCCAAUCCAAUCACUACCAACAUAAAACCAAGAGCCACGAAAGAGCUUCUCAUCUAAGAAAUUCCAAUUGCAAUUAAAUUCAACAUCAAAAGAGGAGUCAAACACCAAAUCAAAAAGGGAUUUUGAAACCCUAGAUGGAUGAAAUUCUUCAGCUAUAAAAGGAGAGCCUCCAAACCAGCAGGGGGAGCUUCUGAUCAGCUAUUGAGCCUCCUCUUCCUAUCGCCAGAAACUCUGCAGCUCUUCCUUUUUCUUUUCUUUUAGUCUUUUUGUGUAUUUAGUCCACCAUGAGUGGCUAAACUCCUUUCUUUUCUAGUUGAAGUUGGUGAAUUUCAGAUUUUGUGAUGAAUUGGGAGAUUUAAAUCUCCAUUGUUAAACUUCUAUUUAUUUUCAAUAUUUAUGCAAUUUGAGCUUUCCAUAAUUAUUACUUUGCUUUUAGAAUCAAUAAGGGCCCAUUGCUUUUAAAUUGCUUAAGUAAUAUUGUUUGAAUGAUUUAGGUCCGUAAUUGCUUAGGUUGUUCAAAUACACAUUUAAUCAAAGUGCAUAAUCUAAACUUGACCACGCGGUUGGCAAGGAUAGAAUUGGGUUUCUCUAAGUCUUAAUGCAGUCAACAGUUGUUCGAUGCUACAAUUCCCCAAGGACGUUCCUUGGCAACUUGUUGAUUAGUGUUUGAUUAGCGAACGUUUCCUAAUCAAACUAGAACUAAGGAGGAAUUUGGUUGUGAGAAGCGUCUUCCAUAACCAAAACCAAUUUAUUGAAAUAAAAUAGGAGUCCUAAAUAAUCAAUGAUCAAUUCUAAACAAUCUGAAAUAGAUCCAUACUUCAACUAGAAGAUUUUCUCUUAUUGAUUUACUCAUCUUUAAAUUGUUGCUUUCUUUUGCUAUUUAGUUUUAAUCAUCAAAUCAAAACCCCCCCCCCUCUUUUAUUUACUUGCUAUUUACCUAGUCAUUAUUAGGAAAAUCUUUGGUGUCAAUUCCCUGUGGUUCGACCCUAUUGCCACUAUCUACAAGUUUAUUGUUGAUUGUCUAAUAGGUUUAUUUUUGACGGCUUCG
rnacentral:lncRNA from 1 species